GGGUGAGUAACGCGUGGAUAAUCUACCCCUCAGUUGGGAAUAACUCAUCGAAAGGUGGGCUAAUACCGAAUAAUACUGCAUGACUUCUGUUGUGUAGUCAAAGAUGGCCUCUGCUUGCAAGCUAUCGCUGAAGGAUGAGUCCGCGUACCAUUAGCUAGUUGGUAGGGUAAUGGCCUACCAAGGCAACGAUGGUUAGCUGGUCUGAGAGGAUGAUCAGCCACACUGGAACUGAGACACGGUCCAGACUCCUACGGGAGGCAGCAGUGAGGAAUAUUGCGCAAUGGGGGCAACCCUGACGCAGCAACGCCGCGUGAGUGAGGAAGGUUUUCGGACCGUAAAGCUCUGUCGAGCGGGAAGAAAUGCAUAGUGGCUAAUAUCCAUUAUGCUUGACGGUACCGCUAAAGGAAGCACCGGCUAACUCCGUGCCAGCAGCCGCGGUAAUACGGAGGGUGCAAGCGUUGUUCGGAAUUAUUGGGCGUAAAGCGCGUGUAGGCGGUUUGUUAAGUCUGAUGUGAAAGCCCCGGGCUCAACCUGGGAAGUGCAUUGGAAACUGUCAGACUUGAAUACGGGAGAGGGUAGUGGAAUUCCUAGUGUAGGAGUGAAAUCCGUAGAUAUUAGGAGGAACACCGGUGGCGAAGGCGGCUACCUGGACCGAUAUUGACGCUGAGACGCGAAAGCGUGGGUAGCAAACAGGAUUAGAUACCCUGGUAGUCCACGCCGUAAACGAUGAGUACUAGGUGUUGCGGGUAUUGACCCCUGCAGUGCCGCAGCUAACGCAUUAAGUACUCC
rnacentral:rRNA from 1 species